AUUUGAAAUCUGGCUUCGGCCCGAGUUGUAAUUUGCAGAGGAUGUUUCUGGCGCGGUGCCUUCCGAGUUCCCUGGAACGGGACGCCACAGAGGGUGAGAGCCCCGUAUGGUUGGACACUAAGCCUGUGUGAAACUCCUUCGACGAGUCGAGUAGUUUGGGAAUGCUGCUCUAAAUGGGAGGUAAAUCUCUUCUAAAGCUAAAUACCGGCCAGAGACCGAUAGCGCACAAGUAGAGUGAUCGAAAGAUGAAAAGCACCUUGAAAAGGGGGUUAAACAGUACGUGAAAUUGUUGAAAGGGAAGCGCUUGUGACCAGACUUGCGCCGGGCGGUUCAUCCGGGGUUCUCCCCGGUGCACUCCGCCCGGUUCAGGCCAGCAUCGGUUUUCGUUGGGGGAUAAGAACGGCAGGAACGUGGCCCUCCUUCGGGUGGGUGUUAUAGCCUGCCGUACGAUACCCUGGUGGGGACCGAGGUUCGCGCUCCGCAAGGAUGCUGGCGUAAUGGUCAUCAGCGACCCGUCUUGAAACACGGACCAAGGAGUCGUCCAUUAGAGCGAGCGUUUGGGUGUAAAACCCGCACGCGUAAUGAAAGUGAAAUUAGGUGAGAGCUUCGGCGCAUCAUCGACCGAUCCUGAUGUUCUCGGAUGGAUUUGAGUAAGAGUUUUAACGGACGGACCCGAAAGACAGUGAACUAUGCUUGUAUAGGGUGAAGCCAGAGGAAACUCUGGUGGAGGCUCGCAGCGGUUCUGACGUGCAAAUCGAUCGUCAAAUAUGAGCAUGGGGGCGAAAGACUAAUCGAACUGUCUAGUAGCUGGUUACCGCCGAAGUUUCCCUCAGGAUAGCAGUGUUGACCUUCAGUUUUAUGAGGUAAAGCGAAUGAUUAGGGACUCGGGGGCGCUUUUUAGCCUUCAUCCAUUCUCAAACUUUAAAUAUGUAAGAAGCCCUUGUUACUUAGUUGAACGUGGGCAUUCGAAUGUAUCAACACUAGUGGGCCAUUUUUGGUAAGCAGAACUGGCGAUGCGGGAUGAACCGAACGCGGGGUUAAGGCGCCAGAGUGUACGCUCAUCAGACACCACAAAAGGCGUUAGUACAUCUUGACAGCAGGACGGUGGCCAUGGAAGUCGGAAUCCGCUAAGGACUGUGUAACAACUCACCUGCCGAAUGUACUAGCCCUGAAAAUGGAUGGCGCUCAAGCGUACCGCCCAUACCCCGCCCUCAGGGUAGAAACGAUGCCCUGAGGAGUAGGCG
rnacentral:rRNA from 1 species